AUAUCAAUAAGCGGAGGAAAAGAAACCAACAGGGAUUGCCUCAGUAACGGCGAGUGAAGCGGCAAAAGCUCAAAUUUGAAAUCCUUCGGGAGUUGUAAUUUGAAGGUGAGAUGGCGACUUCAAGUCUGGCUAAAGUCCCUUGGAACAGGGCGCCUUAGAGGGUGAGAGCCCCGUACAACCAGUUCUUGAAGUCAUAUGCUUUCUCUCCAAAGAGUCGAGUUGUUUGGGAAUGCAGCUCAAAGUGGGUGGUAAAUUCCAUCUAAAGCUAAAUACCGGCGAGAGACCGAUAGCGAACAAGUACCGUGAGGGAAAGAUGAAAAGCACUUUGAAAAGAGAGUGAAACAGUACGUGAAAUUGUUGAAAGGGAAGGGCUUGCAAGCAGACACAACCCUCGUGGUUGGGCCAGCAUCGGUUGCUAGGGGUGGAUAAGGCGGCGGGAAUGUAGCUUCCUCGGAAGUAUUAUAUCCCGCUGAGAUACACCCACCGGCGACCGAGGCCUGCGAUUCUAAAUCAAGGAUGCUGGCGUAAUGGUUGCAAGCCGC
rnacentral:rRNA from 1 species